rnacentral:rRNA from 1 species
UAUCAAUAAGCGGAGGAAAAGAAACCAACAGGGAUUGCCCCAGUAACGGCGAGUGAAGCGGCAACAGCUCAAAUUUGAAAUCUGGCGCAAGCCCGAGUUGUAAUUUGCAGAGGAUGCUUCAGGGCAGCGACCGGUCUAAGUUCCUUGGAACAGGACGUCGUAGAGGGUGAGAAUCCCGUAUGCGACCGGUUGGCACCCGUCACGUAGCUCCUUCGACGAGUCGAGUUGUUUGGGAAUGCAGCUCUAAAUGGGAGGUAAAUUUCUUCUAAAGCUAAAUACCGGCCAGAGACCGAUAGCGCACAAGUAGAGUGAUCGAAAGAUGAAAAGCACUUUGGAAAGAGAGUUAAAAAGCACGUGAAAUUGUUGAAAGGGAAGCGCAUGCAACCAGACUUGUCGGCGGUGUUCCGCCGGUCUUCUGACCGGUCCACUCGCCGCCGGCAGGCCAGCAUCAUCUGGGCGCGCCGGACAAAGGCGCGGGGAAUGUAGCUCCUCGGAGUGUUAUAGCCCCGCGCACAAUACGGCGCCGCUCGGGUGAGGUCCGCGCUUCGGCUAGGAUGCUGGCGUAAUGGUUGUCUGCGGCCCGUCUUGAAACACGGACCAAGGAGUCUAACAUCUAUGCGAGUGUUCGGGUGUCAAACCCCUACGCGGAAUGAAAGUGAACGGAGGUGGGAAGCGCAAGCUGCACCAUCGACCGAUCCUGAUGUCUUCGGAUGGAUUUGAGUAAGAGCAUAGCUGUUGGGACCCGAAAGAUGGUGAACUAUGCCUGAAUAGGGUGAAGCCAGAGGAAACUCUGGUGGAGGCUCGCAGCGGUUCUGACGUGCAAAUCGAUCGUCAAAUUUGGGUAUAGGGGCGAAAGACUAAUCGAACCA